rnacentral:rRNA from 1 species
UACGUAGGGGGCGAGCGUUGUCCGGAUUUAUUGGGCGUAAAGAGCGUGUAGGCGGCCAGGUAGGCCUGCUGUGAAAACUCGAGGCUCAACCUCGAGACGUCGGCGGAAACCAUCUGGCUAGAGUCCGGAAGAGGAGAGUGGAAUUCCUGGUGUAGCGGUGAAAUGCGCAGAUAUCAGGAAGAACACCCGUGGCGAAGGCGGCUCUCUGGGACGGUACUGACGCUGAGACGCGAAAGCGUGGGGAGCGAACAGG